UGGGGAAUAUUGCACAAUGGGCGAAAGCCUGAUGCAGCAACGCCGCGUGAGCGAUGAAGGCCUUUGGGUCGUAAAGCUCUGUCCUUGGGGAAGAAAAAAAUGACGGUACCCUUGGAGGAAGCCCCGGCUAACUACGUGCCAGCAGCCGCGGUAAUACGUAGGGGGCAAGCGUUAUCCGGAAUUAUUGGGCGUAAAGAGUGCGUAGGUGGUUUUGUAAGCGCGGGGUGAAAGGCAAUAGCUCAACUAUUGUAAGCCCUGCGAACUGUAAGACUUGAGUGCAGGAGAGGAAAGCGGAAUUCCUAGUGUAGCGGUGAAAUGCGUAGAUAUUAGGAGGAACACCAGUGGCGAAGGCGGCUUUCUGGCCUGUAACUGACGCUGAGGCGCGAAAGCGUGGGGAGCAAACA
rnacentral:rRNA from 1 species